AUGUACUCUCUCUUGUACACUCCGGUUCCUGCGCUUCGGGCGCACCCGGCUGAAGCCCGCUCGCAACGUUUUUCAACA
rnacentral:sRNA from 1 species